rnacentral:rRNA from 1 species
AUUGAACGCUGGCGGCAGGCCUAAUACAUGCAAGUCGAACGAGCGGCGGACGGGUGAGUAAUGUCUGGGAAACUGCCUGAUGGAGGGGGAUAACUACUGGAAAAGGUAGCUAUACCCGCAACCCAUCAGAUGUGCCCAGAUGGGGUUGGUUGGUUGGGGGGGUAACGGCUAACCUGGGCGACGAUGCAUAGCUGGUCUGAGAGGAUGACAAGCCACACGGGAACUGAGACACGGUCCAGACUCCUACGGGAGGCAGCAGUGGGGAAUAUUGGACAAUGGGCGCAAGCCUGAAUCAGCCAAGCCGCGUGAGUGAAGAAGGCCUUCGGGUCGUAAAGCACUUUCGUCGGGGAAGCGUUACCCGAAGAAGAAGCACCGGCUAACUCCGUGCCAGCAGCCGCGGUAAUAC